UACGUAGGGGGCAAGCGUUGUCCGGAUUUAUUGGGCGUCAAGAGCGUGUAGGCGGCCAUACAGGUCAGCUGUGAAAACUCGAGGCUCAACCUCGAGACGUCGGUUGAAACCGUAUGGCUAGAGUCCGGAAGAGGAGAGUGGAAUUCCCGGUGUAGCGGUGAAAUGCGCAGAUAUCGGGAAGAACACCCGUGGCGAAGGCGGCUCUCUGGGACGGUACUGACGCUGAGACGCGAAAGCGUGGGGAGCGAACAGG
rnacentral:rRNA from 1 species